rnacentral:rRNA from 1 species
UACGAAGGGGGCUAGCGUUGCUCGGAAUCACUGGGCGUAAAGCGCACGUAGGCGGAUUUCUAAGUCAGGGGUGAAAUCCUGGAGCUCAACUCCAGAACUGCCUUUGAUACUGGGAAUCUCGAGUCCGGGAGAGGUGAGUGGAACUGCGAGUGUAGAGGUGAAAUUCGUAGAUAUUCGCAAGAACACCAGUGGCGAAGGCGGCUCACUGGCCCGGUACUGACGCUGAGGCACGAAAGCGUGGGGAGCAAACAGGG